CCUUUUCUUACAUUUUCUUUUUCUUGGGCUGCAGGAAAAUAUAAAUGGCCUCUGUUCAGUUAUUUACAUGACCAAUAUGUGAUGAACUCUACAAAUAGAAUGUGUAUAAGACACCUUAAGAGGGCAAACCAGAUGCUGAUUGCGAGUAUUGGCAUGCCUAAGGCUCCCCAUAUGAGGUAAUAUCAAUCCACGUGAUGUAUUAAUUCACAAAAUAGAGGAGCAUCAUGCUAAUAAUGAGCCACACACUAAUAAUAUCCUUGAAAAGAGUUCCCAAUUUACAAACUCGUUUGUUGUUGUUUUCUCCAAGGAAGCUGAUGCUUUUAGAACUUUUCUUUCAGUUGGGCGGUUUAACUGAAGCUAGAGUAGGCCAUCAUGCUCAGCUUCUUUUUUGUUGUUGAAUUCGCAUUUGUGGAAAAGCAUAUUGAAAGAUGAUACUAGCACGUUGCUUGAUAAAAUACAGGUGCUAGAGAUUUUUAGACGAGCAUCUUUACGAAAUUAGACUAUUAUACCUCCACUUUUCUUGCAUAUCGGGAUGCUAUAUUACAAUGGGUUGUGGGAACUUGAGUGCCGUGAAAGGUUUGCCUUUUGACAUAAAAGAACAACCAUAAGAGAAUCUGGAAGAAAUAUCUAUUUAUAAAAGAUCUGCUGGCUAUACAGUUGGUGAUAACAUGUUGCAAAAAUGAUCAUAGUAUGAUGAUAUUGAAAUAUAAAAAUACUAUACUUUAGAGUGUGGCCCAGUGAAACUAUUAUAUGCAUUUUAUUAUUGUAAGCAUUCACUACUGAAUUUAUUUUGGUAGUAGUGAAAGGUCUCAUUGAAUUUAUGGAUUUUUCUCAUCCUGAGAGUAACUAGAAGAGGAAUAUUUUUUCAGUUAAUCAUUGUUUACAAACCAACCGACUAACACUGCAUCUAUGCAUAUGUGCUUUUAGUAAAUAUUCUCUACUGUAGAUAUUAGAGGCUCUUUUAUAUCCACAGUUUGAGGUUCUUUAAGGAUAAAUUCUAAUUAUCAGGUGUCUGGUAUCAUUGUAUUCGGCAAAACAUGAUAUUGUUUUUCAAAGCAUGCAGAACAUAUGUACUGCAAUUAAGUGCAUUUAUCCGUGAAAUUGAGAAAGUCAUCUCUGGUGCUUUCUCGGCUCUGUGAUUCAUGCCAGAUAUAGAUAUAAUCAUAUUUAGUUUGACGGUGACUGCAUGAAGUGUUAGUUCAUCUACAUGAAGAGUUACUUUGUUCAGUCCAAAUAUCCUCUCGCAUUUUGUAUAGCGAUGGCAAGACUAUUAUCGUCUCAUUUGUGCCAAGAGUGUCUUUCUCGAGGAAUCACCACUUCGAAUUGGGUCUGAACGUGUGCUUCAGUCGGCAUCUCCGGUUGAGUCUGAAGAGGCGCAGGCCAUUGGUGCAAAGGGCUUAGAUGGAGCCACCAUACAAGAAGAGAAACUAAAUCAGCAACAAGUGAGAAGCGGGAGUUGAGAAAGCCAACCCAUUGAAUCCACUACCUGUCCAUUACCAGGCAAGUCCAGUUCCUUUGUUCAUGUCUACUGUUUGAUCAAGUUUCUCUCUCGACUAUAAUUUGCGUGAAAAGCAAAAUUAUUUUCUGAAGUGAAUGAAUCUAGAUAGAGGUGGCCAAUCCUUGGGUAUGAUUUUGGUUGGUGGUGGAACUCUGGAAAGGUGCCGAAGGCACAUCGAAAGACAAGUUCCACUACAAUGGGUUUCAUCAGGUAUAGCUGGACCUGGAGUAUCAGCAUUGAGACCGGUGAAGUCACAAAUCACCGAGACCUCAUGAACUUCAGGAGGUGGAAGGACUUCUACACAGGGGCGGAGCCAGGAAAUAAUUUUAGAGGGGGCAAAGAUGUGCUAAUUGGAGCAAUAUUCCUUUUUAAGUGGGGGCAAAUCACUAUUUGGCACGGCAUAUUACAAAGAAAUUGAAAAUUGAGUGGGGGAAGCUGCCCCCCUUGGCUUACACGCUGGAUCCGCCCCUGCUUCUACAGCGUACAACUCUGCUUCAGGUACAUUUACCGCUGAAGGAGGUGUUGAAUACUAUGACCAAUAUAGUAUGGUACCACCAGAUGGAUGGGUCACUGAUGGGUCACGGUAAAAGAUUUGAUAACUCUGCUUCAGGUACAUUUACCGCUGAAGGAGGUGUUGAAUACUAUGACUAAUAUAGUAUGGUACCACCAGAUGGAUGGGUCACGGUAAAAGAUUUGACUGCACAAUCAAUUUUGACUUCACAUUUUGUUAGCCAAUCCAUGCCCAAGAUGACAUCAAUGUCAGUUGACUUCAAGGCAAUCAGAGAAGUAGGGAACUUUAGAUAAGCUGUAUCAAUUAUAAGCCCAUGUGCAAUUCUAUUGGUCUGCCAACGAGAACACGGGGUUUUAACC